rnacentral:rRNA from 1 species
GUAAAGGCACAAGGGAGCUUGACUGCGAGACCUACAAGUCGAGCAGGGACGAAAGUCGGGCUUAGUGAUCCGGUGGUUCCGCAUGGAAGGGCCAUCGCUCAACGGAUAAAAGCUACCCCGGGGAUAACAGGCUUAUCUCCCCCAAGAGUCCACAUCGACGGGGAGGUUUGGCACCUCGAUGUCGGCUCAUCGCAUCCUGGGGCUGUAGUCGGUCCCAAGGGUUGGGCUGUUCGCCCAUUAAAGCGGUACGCGAGCUGGGUUCAGAACGUCGUGAGACAGUUCGGUCCCUAUCCGUCGCGGGCGCAGGAAAUUUGAGAGGAGCUGUCCUUAGUACGAGAGGACCGGGAUGGACGCACCGCUGGUGUACCAGUUGUUCUGCCAAGGGCAUCGCUGGGUAGCUAUGUGCGGACGGGAUAAGUGCUGAAAGCAUCUAAGCAUGAAGCCCCCCUCAAGAUGAGAUUUCCCAUUCCGCAAGGAAGUAAGAUCCCUGAAAGAUGAUCAGGUUGAUAGGUCUGAGGUGGAAGUGUGGCGACGCAUGGAGCUGACAGAUACUAAUCGAUCGAGGACUUAACCACAUUUG